AAGCUGCAGGGUGGAGAGUGAACCUGGGGCAUCUAAGCCCCGCAUAGAGCCCAGCACAGACCCGGCCUUGCACCUACUAGAACUUCAGGAAUGUCCUUCAUGCUCUGCUGUGGGCUGAGUAAGUCACAUGAUUACCUUGUACAAUGCUAGAGAUUUGUAUUUUUAUCCCCAUUUUUUGGAUGAGGAAAUGCUUCAGAUAAGGCUCCACCUUGUUAAAUAAAUAGGAUGUAUGGAAAAAUAGACUGCAGAAAAGGGGAACUCAUUUAGCUCAUACGUGGUAGAGAUUGAAAAUUAACCUCUCAGUACAAAGCAUUCGUGGGCAGAGGUGUUAAUUUUCUUAAAGUGUAGAAAGAAGAGACUUGUUGCUUCCUGAGGCUGCGUCAGGGUGUUGGGUUAGGCAGGUACUGAUGCCAACUGUCAUUUCACCCUCCUCUUCCCCUCUGAACACAGACCCUUGGGUCCUUCUCUCUCAUGACAUUGAUGAGAAAUCUCAUUCAGGGCAGGCUAGGGAUGCCAGGAUCUGGACUCAGGCCUCCUCAGCAUGGCCUAGGCCUUGCACGCUGAGGCUCUGAAAUCCAGGAAAAAUGGCUGACCCAUGGACACUUCCUCAAACUCUGCAGCGGAUGUGAUUCUGGAUCCAGACACGGCAAACCCUAUCCUCCUUGUUUCUGAGGACCAGAGGACUGUGCAGCGUGCCAAGGAGCGUCAGGAUCUACCAGACAACCCUGAGAGAUUUGAUUGGCAUUUUUGUGUUCUCGGCUGUGAAAGCUUCAUGUCAGGGAGACAUUACUGGGAGGUGGAGGUGGGGGACAGGAAAGAGUGGCAUAUAGGUGUGUGUAGUAAGAACGUGCAGAGAAAAGGCUGGGUCAAAAUGACACCUGAGAACGGAUUCUGGACUAUGGGGCUGACUGAUGGGAAUAAGUAUCGGACUCUAACUGAGCCCAGAACCAACCUGAAACUUGCUCAGCCCCCUAGGAAAGUGGGGGUCUUCCUGGAUUGUGAGACUGGAGAUGUCUCAUUCUACAAUGCUGUGGAUGGAUCGCAUAUUCACACUUUCCUGGACAUCUCCUUUUCUGAGCCUCUGUAUCCUGUUUUCAGAAUUUUGACCUUGGAGCCCACUGCCCUGACCAUUUGCCCAGCGCCAAAAGGAGUAGAGAGUUCCCCGGAUCCCGACCUAGUUGCACCUGAUCAUCCUCUAGAGACACCAGUGGCCCCGGGCUUAGCUAACCAAAGUGGGGAGCCUCAGGCCGAAGUAACGUCCCUGCUUCUCCCUGCCCAGCCUGGAGCUGACAGCCUCCCCCUUCACAGCAACCAAGCAGAGGCAUAAGACUGCAGACAUACACUGAAGCACUUUACUGAUGAUACUCAUUCAAUUAUUCAUACGAUAGUUGUUUGGGUUUGGUACCACUUAUUGUCCCCUUAUACAGAUAAGGAAACUGGGGUGCAGAAAAGUGAAUUCGCUUUACAAAGUAGACAUGACUAGUGAACAACAGAGCUGGGAUCUAUUCAUCAAUGACUAACAUUAGUAGAGAAUUUUAAACGUUCUGACUGCCGUGUUAUGAGCUUUGGUGGCUGUUACUCCUUUAAUCCUCACAGCACUCUGUCAGGUAGUCUCAUUUUAUGAGUAUGGAAGCUGAGGCAGGGUGACAUUAAGUAACCUGCAUAACUCAUACGGUAAUUUGUGCAGUUGGGAGACGUUCAGCCUCAGUCCCUGGCCACUUGCCCAUUCUUUUCCAGCCUGAUUCUUCCCCCAUGGGAAGAAUCCACCUGUAGCCCUGAGGUUCCCUUCCCAGGACAGCUCCAGGGUGGGGAUCAUUGUAGGUGGUUGUGGGGUUGACGCCCCUAUUGACUCCUUCCCAGCUGAUGGUCAGAGCCUUAGACCCAGCACUCCUUGGAUUAGCUCUGCUGAGUGUCUUGGUUGAGAGAAUAACCUCACGGUACCCACAUGACACGUGACUUGGAAGGAGACUCGAGGCCACACUCAGUAAAUAAUGGUGCACAGGUGUGCCCACUCAACAACUAUGCUGAGUGACCAUGCAGCCAGAGCCAGGCUUCUUGCAGUCAGGGUUUCCAGGCAGAGCUAAUACCCUAAAGAUUCUCUGUGAUGCAGGAAAUGUAGAUGAAGGAAGCUAGAACUACAGGGAUGAUGAUGAUGGUGAUUAGAGACAGAGUCUCUCUCACUCUGUUGCCAGGCUGAAGUGCAGUGUCGCGAUCUCAGCUCACUGCAACAACCUCGCGGGUUCAAGUGAUUCUCCUGCCUCAACCUCCUGAGUAGCUGGGACUACGGGCACAAGCCACCAUGCCCAGUUGAUAUUUGUGCUUUUACUAGAGAUAAGGGUUAACCAUGUUGACCAGGAUCGUCUCGAUCUUUUGACCUUGUGAUUUGCCUGCCUCAGACUCCCAAAGUUCUGGGAUUACAGGGUUGAGCCACUGCACUGGCCUACAGGGAUAUUUUAAAUCCUGCCAUGGACUCUGUCUCCAGAAAACAGGUCUGUCCAUCCCUGCUCAUUGGUGAAUGUUAAACCAAUAUUCCUUUCAACUGCUGCAUGCUAGAGAAAACUACUCCUCAUUAUCAUCACUAUUAUUGCUCCCCACCGUAUCCCCUCUACUUGGCAUGUGCUUGUCAAGUUCUAGUUUUCAAUAAAUUUGUGAAUAAUGCUUACUCUUCAA